GCAUUGGUAGUUCAGUGGCAGAAUUCUCACCUUCCAUGCUGGUGAUCCAGGUUUGAUUCCUGACCAAUGCA
rnacentral:tRNA from 1 species